rnacentral:rRNA from 1 species
UACGUAGGCAGCGAGCGUUGUUCGGAGUUACUGGGCGUAAAGGGUGUGUAGGCGGUCCUCUAAGUUUGGUGUGAAAUCUCCCGGCUCAACCGGGAGGGUGCGCCGAAAACUGGAGGGCUAGAGUGCGGGAAGGGAGAGUGGAAUUCCUGGUGUAGCGGUGAAAUGCGUAGAUAUCAGGAGGAACACCGGUGGUGCAGACGGCUCUCUGGACCGCGACUGACGCUGAGACACGAAAGCGUGGGUAGCAAACAGG